UGGGGAAUAUUGGACAAUGGGCGAAAGCCUGAUCCAGCCAUGCCGCGUGUGUGAAGAAGGCCUUAUGGUUGUAAAGCACUUUAAGUGGGGAGGAAAAGCUUAUGGAUAACACCCAUAGGUUCUGACGUUACCCACAGAAUAAGCACCGGCUAACUCUGUGCCAGCAGCCGCGGUAAUACAGAGGGUGCGAGCGUUAAUCGGAAUUACUGGGCGUAAAGCGAGCGUAGGUGGUUUAUUAAGUCAGAUGUGAAAUCCCUGGGCUUAACCUAGGAACUGCAUCUGAUACUGAUAAACUAGAGUAGGUGAGAGGAAAGUAGAAUUCCAGGUGUAGCGGUGAAAUGCGUAGAGAUCUGGAGGAAUACCGAUGGCGAAGGCAGCUUUCUGGCAUCAUACUGACACUGAGGUUCGAAAGCGUGGGUAGCAAACAGGAUUAGAUACCCUGGUAGUCCACGCCGUAAACGAUGUCUACCAGUCGUUGGGUCUUUUAAAGGCUUAGUGACGCAGUUAACGCGAUAAGUAGACCGCCUGGGGAGUACGGCCGCAAGGUUA
rnacentral:rRNA from 1 species